GCAACCAAAAGCCACAGGGGGCAGAACUCACAUGCACUCUUCUCUCUUUACUGUAGUGGUUUGAGACUGAUGAGAUGGCUUAGUCCAAAAAGGUGAUUGCUGCCAAGCCUCGCGCGUGCGCGCGCACACACACACACAACCAUGCUUGUGCAACCAGAAGCCACAUGUGUAAAUAGCCAGUCUUCCCAGAUCCCAGUGUAACGUCUGCUAGCAAAGUGCUCCCAAGCAUGUGCUCUACAGAUACAGAUACAAAGGAACCUUAAUUGUCCUCACUUUCAGGAAGAGCAGGCAACAGGCCCAGCCUUAACUCCCAAAGAUACGCCUGCCUCUGCCCCCCAAAUGCUGCAAGUAACGUUUAAGAAGCCCUCGGCUAUCUGGAAGCUUUCCGACACCUGAACACCACGGAUACUUCUGAAAAGCACACAGCAAAGAUUGGUGUGAAGAAGCUAGGCCUUGAAGGAUCCUUCCCUGGGAGGCUAAGCGGGAGCCCGGCAGCUCUGAAUCUCCUCUGGCAAGCACAGACUCCAUGGAGAGUCCUCUAAACCACUUCCGGCAACAGCACAGGGCGCAGUCGCUACAGCUCUGGGAUGACUACGGCAGCUUGUGUCAAGCUGAUAGAGAACUAACCAGCACAGUCACCAACCGGGGAUACCAUUGGAAGAUACUGUAGUCUUUGCCGGAAGAAAGCAGGAUAUUGGACAAGAGCACACCAAGUUUUUCAUUCUGACCUUGAUUUUGCUACCACUAAAAUGUUUGUCUCGGGACAUUAGAAACAACGCCAGGCCAUUGGACACCUCACUGUCAUUGGAACCACAAAGCUGUGUCAACCCAUCUAGCAUACAUAGUCUUCCCUCGUGAGAGAUCUUUAGACUCCUGGAUACAACCUAAAACAAACAAGCAAAAACCAGAAAAGCAACUUAAGUAAAUGAGAACGUCCAACAA